GCCUUUGUUGGCCCCCGCACUCGUAAUGCGUAGGUCUCGGGUUCGAAUCCCGAAGGCGGCU
rnacentral:tRNA from 1 species